rnacentral:snoRNA from 1 species
ACUACUAUACUUUCAGGGAUCAUUUCUAUAGUUUGUAACUAGAGAAGUGUAGCCGAAAGUGUCUAACCUUGCCUAGCCAGUUAUACCCCCUUCAUAAUUAGGC